CCCCGCUGCUCCCUGCAGAGUGUCACGUUCAGUCAGCGGUGAUGUUGGGGCAGCAGCAGAUGGACCUGGGCUCAGAGUUUCAGUCGGUGCUGGACGUGGGCAGCCUGCUGAAGCUCAGCACAGCCGGAGACCACCUGAAGGACGACAGAGAUGGUGCUGUGGACCUUAUUGAUGAGCUAAUGUCUGCGGAGGGUAAAGUCUACAGCUA